rnacentral:tRNA from 1 species
GCCUCGGUAGCUCAGUGGUAGAGCGCUCGCCUUGUAAGCGAGAGGUCGGGGAUUCAAUCUCCCUCCGAGGCU